UAAAACAAAACAAAACCAACAACUCCCUUGAACUCCCAUAAUCCUCCACAAAAAAAAAGAAACAAAAAGAAAUGAACAUUUAUUUUAUUCUAGAAUCAGAAACAUGAAACAGAAUACAGGGAGAAGCCAAUGACAGGGGUUUCUGAGGGUCCAACCCCUACUCCAUGGCACCUUCAGCCUAAGCCUCUCCUGGAGGGUCACUACAUCAUCAUUUUUCUUUCCUUUCCUUGUAGACCCCUGGAUCCAUCUCUGUGUUGAGGCAUCCAAGGGAACAUGUCAGACAUGAUUGAUUAUUUUGUACACAUAUGCACAUUCAUAUCUAGACAGCAAAUCUGGUAAACAUAUACAUCCUAAGCCCACCUAAAAUACAUUUUCUUCUCUGUCAUCAACAGCACAUCCAAUCUUUAUUCCUAUCAGACUUUCCUCAUCGGCCUUGUCUUGUGUUGUUUUCUUCCCUUAUGCCAGGUUGGUUUUCCUUUUUUUAAAGUCUGACAUUACUAAAUAAGAGCUUAGCCUAUAGCCCGGACCAGACAAUUCAUUUACACAUGCAUUACAAAUAAGGCCCAGGCUUGACUGAUCUGUAAACCACCAAUUCCACUUAGCUCUGUUUCCUCUUCUCCAUGCCAUGCCAUUUGUGGUCCUGGAAUCCUCCUAGUUCAUCAAAGCUUCCUUGUCUUCCAAGCCCCGUUCCCCACCUUCACAAUGCUCUUUUCUCUUCUCUGCCAAGUGAACCUGGUACUGAUAAAACCCCAAACCAAAACCAAAACCAAACAAAAAACAAGACAUCAGUUUGUCCUUUCUUAUUGCCAGUCACGUUACUCCACAGGCCUUGUCAUCUGUGCUGCGUCAGUCUGAGCUGCACUUACGACACUUUUGUGAAUUGUGCACUCUCCAGGUGGAUUCAGAGGGAGCAAGGCAGCAUGCUGUCUACAAUCAUAAUGUAUAGUAAACACAGAGUAAAUAUGAAUUCCUGUUCUUCUAUUUCUUCAAUGAUUUACUUUUUAUUUUUCAGGGAAACCAUCUGCACAAUUGUGAUUUACUAUACGAGUGUUUAUUAUUGUUAUCUGAGAUUCUGAAUUUGAAGGUAACAAGAGGCUUAGGUAUCAUUGGUUCCUGGACAUUCUUAUUUUUAAUAAAGCCAAAACAAAUAUUUUCCGUUGUAGUGAUAAGCUGACCGUCCUCAUAAGACCCUCACUACCGAGGUACAGAGAUGUAGUUAAAUUGUAGGCACACCUAGGCCUGGGUUCAGCUGCUAGAACUCCUUUGAACCAUUCUCUAAUAUUCUCUUUAACAUAAAUAGCUAACAAAGUUACAAUUUCUUUAAGGCGUUUAUCGUCCAUAUGAGCAGAUUCUGUAGCUCUUGGAUCCUGCUGUUAUAUCUGUUGCUUCCUCGUCCUAGUUAGCAACAGCUACAAAAUAGGCAGCUUACUUCAUGGGUGUCACAGCUAAACUCACUCCACUUGAGAGUGGCUGAAGUAGCUGGUACUCUUCCAGGCUUUGAGUUUAUCCCUGUGGUGAGAGCUCAGGCUAGCAACAGAGCUGUUCCAAUUAUUUUCGUGAUUCCAACAUCGUCAUGCACAUGUCAGAGAAGGUCACAAUUAUCAAGGAUAGAACAUUUCAUUUUGUGGCUUUAUAUGUGCCAUUGAUUUACAUAACAGUAGGAAGGUAGACUCCUGAAGCAAAUAUUGGAGAUUUUUUGACAUCUACACUUUUCAGAUAAAAACAUCCAAGGCAAGAGCUACCACAGUCCCCUUGAGCAUCACUGCAGGGCAGAGGCCCGAGGCAUAGAUGUUUUAAUUCCUAGUUCUGGAAUUUUCCCACCUAUGGUGAAAUGCCUUCACUGUUCAGAGAUGGGAAUGUAUUUGCUAGCUGCUUUGGGAGUUGUGGCUGUGGUGCCGAGUGACAGAUGAGACAAACCAUCAUGAGUUCCUGGUGCUGCAUAGAUUUCUAUCAGCCUUUGUAGUUAAUUCUCUAACUUUCCUAUAGUCUGUUUCUAGGCAUUCGGAACUGGCAGCUUUUGUCUGAACAGCAUUCUUUGACCUCCUAAUUUCUGAAGUUUUGUUUCAUUUGUAAGCUGUGAUUUAACCUCCUGGAAUCAUGCUGUGAGCUUUCUAAUGAAAUUCAUUAAAAAUACAAUUCACUGAACAAGAAAUCAGACAGGAGUAAAAAUUUUGGUAGGCCACAGGGACCUCAAAUAUCUGUAUUUUUCUCUUAAAUGUGAGCCACAGUAAUUUCUUGGGGGAAACUCUGGCCGCUGUCUCACAUACUUCUGACAAUUUCCAAACAUAUUCUCCUCUCAUGCUCUAAAAACCACAAUGCAAAGGGGAGAUGACCAGUACAGUCACUGGUAGUUCUGCAUAACAUGACAAAUUGCAUGAACUGACAGGAAGGUGAUGAAUACUGCUAACGUGACCCUAAAAAUAGUGAGGGAAUGUUUGCACAUUGACACUUCUCUAAAGGCAGACAGAUAUGCAUGACCUGAGCUCUUAGACAGGUGUCAGAGAUAUUGAUGGGUGGUACGAGGAGGAUCAUUUUCUUGGCAGUGUUGCAGCAGACAGUCUGCAUGAUUAAUGACGUAGCUUAGGCUUUUAUGUUUUCCACCUAGGGCAAAAAGGGAUGUGAACCUUUGUCAUUCCAUGGAAUGUAAGAAUCCUGCCUGAAGGGCAAGAUGGGGGAGCAUUAUACAUCUAAAAGUAUCGUGUUUGUUUGCUGGGUGCAAAAACAGCAGUGAAAAAUACUCACACAUGAUCUCGACACAUGAAAUAGCUCUGCCUAGCGCCUGAUCUGAUCUGGGCUUCUUACCAAAGGCCUCCACCCAGGGCACCAGAGCUUGCACUGUGCGCAGUGUGGAGGGCAGUGUGCUUGGGCUCUGACAAGAGCAGGAGUACACCGUGGCUUUGGGAUGCAUCUGCACAUAAUGCACACUUUGAAUGAAUAUUAAGAACCACUCAAAGAAAACAAAACAGGACUAAGGCAGGAAGCAAGAGGUGAGAUCAUCUGCCUAAUGUUUAUAUUCAUUUCAGGUUCUCAGAGACAAUUUUCUGAUUCAAAUCAAUUCAAUAUUGUUUCUAAAUGCUGAAUCCAGUGAGAAAGAGCUUUUCUUUCCUAAGAAUAAUACUGUUUGCUCAGGUUUUUAAAAUGUCACAUGCAGCAGUGAACGAACUAUGCUAUUUCAGGGCUCAAAAUUAAAUCCGAAAUCUAAUAAUAGUCUCUAGAUGUAUUCUGCUAAACCUUAGGUAGCCAGCCCAUUUACUGAAAAUAUUAUGGUAGGUUAUGGUAACAUGGGCUAUGGAAAUAAGCUACCAAUGUGUGUUUUCUUUUACUUUUUUUCCUUUUAAACAAACAAAGGUACCCUUGGGAAUCAAUUGUCCAUGGACAAUAUUUUAAAUGAGAAAGUAUAUUUAUUUAUUUUGCAAUCAAAGAUUAGGUUAUCAAGAAAACUGAGGAGGUUGAUUUCCCUCAAGAUAAAGUCUCAUUUAUAUGCUAGGAAAGAAGUAGAAAGUAAUUUUGUGAACAUUAGUGACUAGGCUGAUUAUUAUUUUAUUUUUUGUUUAUGAAGAAUGGUGGGUUCAAUGGGAAUGGCUACCAUUGUGGUCCCUAGAUAGUGGGACUGGUUGGGAAGCAUUAGGAGGUGUGGCUUUGUUGGAGAAGGUAUGUCACUGGGCUCAGGCUUUGAGGUUUCAAAAGCCCAUGAUGGUCACAGUUACUUCUUUUUGUCUUGUGGUUGGUUAUGUUUUAAGAUGUGAGCUCUCAGCUACCAUUCUACCACCAUGCUGGCCUGCCUACCACCAUGCUCCCCACCAGGAUGGUAAUAAACUCUUCCAUAAAUGGCUUUGGUCAUAAUGUCUUAUCACAGUAAUAGAAAAGCAACAAAGACACUAUGAGAAAGGAACAGAUUUUGAAUUUAAAAUUCCUCUUCUUACAUGCUAGGAAGGUUUAUGUGUUUCUCUUAAUUGUUAAAAUCUCUCAAUAAAAUCCGGUAUCCAGAAAUGUGGGAGUGAAAAGUUCUGUCUUAUCUGGAAUAUGCUCUUAACAUCUUCAGUGUAAGAACUUGACUUGGCAUGUAAUUACGCUAAGAUUUUCUCAUGAUUGUUUUCUCAUUGCCUAGUAAUAUUGCUUUCAGCUAGUAUACUUUAUACUCCAUGCAUGUUGACUCUAGUAGUGGCCUUCUCUUUGUUACAAUAGAAACAUUUUGUCAUAAACAACUCUCACUGCUCUGGAAGUUUGAAUAAAACUUAAGCUAAUGAAUAGGAAGUAGAAUUACUCAGAGUAUAAAUUCAGAAUUGAUAUAUAAUCAAGAGAAGUUGAUGAUUAACAGAUUUGUCAUCCAAUUUUUAUAUUAUCCAAUUAAUAUUCUGAUACAUUGAAAUGUCAAUCCACACUUAAAAAAUCUUCAGUAGAAAUAUUAUUAGAACUAGAUCAAAUUUUACCAUGCAACUUAGGUAAUUACUUCUCUCUGGAAACUAAUCCAAAUUCUGGAGUCAGUAGCAUCAGCAGCAUGCAUAUCCAAACUCGUCAAUAGUCCUUGCAGAGAAACUCUCAUUAUAUGAAAGGGCAGAAAAUACAUGAUCCUCAUUUCCAAAAUUCUUCAAGGGUUUCCCUAGAUUAUGGGGUAUUUAAAAAAAUAGGUUUCAAGUAUAGGUCUUUUGAAAAUUAGCAUUGUAUGCUAUGCAUAAGAAAAACAUCUCAGCAGAUCCCAGCCAAUUACAUAGCGAAUAAUGUCCGCAGGCUGGUCUUGAACUCGUGAUCCUCCUGCCCGCACCUCCUGCAGCAAGUCCUACCAGUAUGUGUUACCACAACCAGCAAUAUUAUAGAUUUUAUUAUCUACCUGCUGGUGUCAGAAAGAUUUCCUUUAAAACUACUUAAUUUUUUUUGAAAGAGUCUCAUAGAGCCUAGGCUAGCUUCAAACACUCCCUGUAGCUAUGGGUGACCUUGAACUUUUGAUUUUUCUCUCUACUUCCUGAGUUCAUACGUAGGCUUACAGGUGUGAACUACUAUAGCUGGUUUCUGUUUUACUGGGUAUUGAAUCCAGGACUUCAUGCAAACUAGGUGUAAUUUUAGUUUAAUUAUCACUUUACAUAAGCUAGAGUUACCUGGGGGAUGGGCCACAGGGCAUGCCUGUGGAGGAUUUUAUGGCUUGACUGCUAUUGGAAGACCCAUCUUAAUUGUGAAAGAGACCAUGCCCUGGGGAAGAUCCUGUACCAUAUAGUGGAGAGAGCAAACUAGGCAACAGUAUGAAUUCUGCCCGUUUCCUCAUUGAGUAAAUACCAAUUGCUUCAGGCUCCUGCUAUCCUGACUUCUCGAAAGGCUGUUUGAACAGUGACCUGAAGUAAAUUCUUUCUCCCUUAAGUUGCUUUGGUGAGAGCACCUUCUCUUAGCAACAGGAAGGGAAACAGGCAAGCAGUGACUCAUGCCCAAGUCCACUGAUACUUUCAGUGUUCUACAAAACUCUUACGGGAACACAACUGAGAUGAAACGCAAAGGAUGGCAUGAACGUUUGGAAACGCACAUUUUCUCAGUGUUCACCCGCUGUAGUGUUGUGUAUAAGAACACAUGGUGGCAUUUCAGUUUGCAAGCUCAAUCCAGCCAUUCGUCAUUAACUUCCUGCAGUUUUACGGCUCCUCCCAUGAACAAGCACAAAUGGUCCUUUCUUCAUCCCAGUGCUUCUACUGCUCUGAAGUCUGUCUUCAAUAAAGGAAAGCUCAGACCCAGCAGAGUCUACCCUGCAAUGUGGGCGAUUUCUCUUGCUUCAAUUUUUAUUCUCCCUUUUGAAGGUGAGAUCUGAUUUUACACACGGGUAAAUACCCGGAGCUGAAGACACUUUCUCAGCAAAGGUCUGGCUUUCAGAUGGAGAAACAUCAUUUUCUAAUUCUUUGCAGCCUUGAUGUUUUCAUAAGAAGAAUAGGGCAGGAAAAGAACCUCAAAAUGAAGCCACAGAACAUGACACUUGGUCUUCCCUCAGAUUAUAAUCCAUCUGUUCCCUGAGAACCCAAGAGUUAAGUGCUUGUGAUUAGUGUCAUAGUCUGUCAACAUUGUUUUCUAAGCCUUAUUUCUGUCCUGGUAUUCAGCUCUUUUCUUUCUUUCUAUCUUUCUUCUUCUUCUUCUUCUUC
rnacentral:sRNA from 1 species